rnacentral:misc_RNA from 1 species
CUGUUCGAGCGUCAUUUAACCACUCACGCCUAGCGUGGUAUUGGGGCACGCGGUCUCCGCGGCCCUCAAAAUUAGUGGCGGCGCCGGUGGGCUCUAAGCGUAGUACAUACUCCCGCUAUAGAGUUCCCCCCGGUGGCUCGCACCGAACCCAUUUUUUACAGGUUGACCUCGGAUCAGGUAGGGAUACCCGCUGAACUUAA